UUCAAAGAUAGGUCUGCUAGGGUAACGCGUUUUCUCAUCUUCUUCUCUCUGGUUCGCUACCCUCGCCGCCACAACACGCGUCAGACGCCGCCGCUUCCCUGCGUCCGCCGCCCCUCGUCACAUUCUCGGAGGAACGAACUAUCAGUAUCACCAAUAUAGGGUAGGUUACUAGGUAAAACUAUUCAUAAGCCAAUUUAGAGAAAGAACGAGAACCAGAGCGAUCCUUGAUGACACUGAAAUAAGACAACUUUCCUCAACCCCACUUCUUGUUGAGGACGACAAACCCAGCAAGGAAGCACAUUCUGCUGCAACUACUAUAACAUUCAUCACGUUGGUCCCGGCCAAAAGUUGCGGCACGUGCAGUAUCUACUGAUGGACUCAGACCAAGUUUCUAUUUUCAAUUAAUGUUGUAGUUUACGUUAUUCAGCUUGCUUUAUGGUUGUUAUUAUGGUGGAAACCUAUUAGGGUGCUGCUCAUCCUGUCUAAGGUGUUCUUUGCAGUCUUAAUUGGAGCUUGAUCAUUAUUUGUAUCCCGGAUAAAGGUGAUGAAUCAAGGCCAAUCAUACUUCAUCUGGAUUCUUUGAGUCUUCACUCUAGCAGAUCACUAUUUGAUAACAUCAAAAGGUUAGGAUGAAGUAGCACUUGAUUUAUUGUAUACCAUAUAUGUGACAUAUCUAGUUCAUUUCUAAUCUGGUUAUUAGUUCUUGAACAUAUCACAGCUUCCAUAUCUUGUGACUUCACUACCAUCCUAUGUUACAAGUAGGUAUUUUUCUUAUGUUCUUGUAAUUUGUAAGCAUAUAUGUAGAUUAAUGUAAAAUUGACCUCACCAUUACUUUAUAUUAUUCAUUCAACUUUGCCCAGUAUUCUUAAAAUGUAUAGUUACAAACAAGCUAGCUAAAUCCAUACGUAUGCUUAUAGAGAAAAUCACGUGUCACAAAAUGGUCCUCUGACCUUGUAUCUUAAUGACAUGAUACAAGUUUGAAAACUUAAAUGUUAUGCAGAUUUUACAGUUUGAAUGAAAGGAUUGAAAUAAUGACUAGUUAUUAAUUAUUAAGAGGCUUGUAAUGUUGUUGUAUUUAAUGGCGCCACUGAACAUGGUUUGUCCAAAAUAGUUGCCAUGUUGUUCCAAGUCAUUAGCAAUUAAGAACCCUAAGAUUCCAAACACAAUACUUUUAAUGAUUAAAUUUCCUCACAUCCAUGUUCUAUGGAUUUGAGUACCUCUCUCUCUGUAAAUUUGCCACCACUCUAUACAAAUUGCCAAAACCACUUUUGUGUGCUGAUGCAGCAGCUGGCACAGGAAAGUGCCUUUCACAAUAUAUAACGAGAAAAUUAAACACCUCAUCAAUCAACUCAAAGAAAG